ACUUUUGGGACUGCAGGAUUAGCAAUCAAUAUGCAGAGAGAAAGAUAGAGCCACCCUCUGCACUUGAACAGCAACUAAGAACCGAGAGACUAUUUUUUGCAAUGGUUGACUAAAUAUGGUCAGGGAAGAGAAAGAGAGAGGCAAGAGAGAGCCUGGGAGUGGAGCUCCCAACUGCUUAGCAGUCUAUAAAGCUGAAACCGUUUUGCUUGUGUUCUGAGUGGCAAAUGGAUCCAACAGAAGGAAUAUGCAUCUAUGAGCCCUGACAUGAACAACAGUUUGACCUCUGAAGAGAGAAGACAGACAAUGGAUGUCUGGAAACACGAAGAAAAUACAACUUCGAAGGAGAAAGAAGCAAUACUCGCGGGAUGGAGGGUGGGGGAAGAAGGGGGGAAGCAUGCUGAAUCUCGAAGGUCUUGUGAACUUUUUAAAAGGUCAUCUUUAAGAGAAAGGCAAAACUGAGUUUAUCCUUCUUUUGGUUUCCUAGCAGCCAUCCUGGAUACUUUGCCUUUGCAGGUACAAAAAACUUUCUCACAUCUGCACCUUAAUAUCUGGAUAAAAAGUAGCAAAGACUUAUUAACACAAUCCAAUAUGCUUGGGCUAUAAGUAUUUUAGAAAGUGAAAUAUAUGUUCAGUUCCACCCCCCCCUCUUCCCACUGCUCCCCCUCCUCCAUAAUGAAGAGCUGAAUCAGCGAAUAGAGUGAACACCCAAGAAGAGAUGGCUGCUGCUGAUGUCUCUCUCUAGGUCAUUACCUUUCUUCCAACCACAAAUGCUGCAUGAUAAGCUUACAGUUUAGGCAGAUGAGAAAAGUACACCACUACACCAAUUUGUGGAAAGAGCACAAACAUAAAAAUGAGAUAAGAUGAAGAACAUGAAAAUUUGUGACAAAUGCAAUAGGUCAAAAUAAAGGAAUGUGUCAGAAGUGACAUAAGGAAUAUAUAACACUUCAACUGUAAGCGGGAGUUGUCUAUUGGAAGCAAUAACAAGAAGUAAACUGGUUGGACAAGACAAGGGGGCAUGAAGUGGAGACAAGAGAAGUGUAGAUGAAGACUGAAAAAACAAGGGUCAAGAUCUGACAGCAUGGGAAAAUACUGAUAAUCUCUAUGUCAAAACACUGCAGUCUUUUCAGUCGUUACUCAAUGAGUUCCUAUCCCAUCACCAUUUUCUCCAUGUUCCUUCUCAGCGCAAAUACAUAUCAAACAUAAACCUUGAUCAGGGGAGGUAAAAUUUCUAGAAAAAAUUACGAAUGGAAAAAAUGCAAGUUUUCCUCUCAACAACACCCCAAGGAUGUGGAAAUCUAGAAGGUAAAACAAAAUAGGGUUGUGGGUUUCUUUAGGCUUUUCAACUUUGGUGGAGGUUCUGUGCCCCAACCCCAGCAAAUCUGGAGUAUACUAUAUAAUAUUCAAACUCUCCAGAAGUUUUUAUCAGUCUCAGACUAAAAAUCCAAAAAAACCCCAUAUUUAGUGACAACAUGGGUUGACAUAUACAGAAUUGUACUACAUACUAUCAAUCUUUCUUUAUCCUUUUGAAGCAGCUUGCAGAAACACACAAUAGAAUUGAAAUGUGCAGCUUUCCAAAAAUUAAUUAGAAAUAUCCAUAUUCAACUAUUCUUCUAAUAAAUUUCUCAACAUAUGAAGUAUGCAACUACCUUUCCAUUAAUUCAAAAAGCAGAAUUUUAAAAAGGAGGGUUUUUAUGCAUUAAGGAAAAGCUUCUGCAAGUUUAACAAGAUACUUUUAUUGCAUGUUAUUAUCUUAAAGACAUUUUAAACAUUUCAAAUCACAUAGAGAGACUAAGAUUCUAACUUACCACCAGAUGCAUUGCUUAUAGCAGAGCCUGCUGAUGCUACUUUUGAAACAGCUGCUGGAUUAUAUGUCCAAGAAGUUCCACAAACCUCUACUUUUAAAUCACUGUCUGAAUAGAUCUGCUGGACCCUUCCAACUUUACCUAAAGUCUAAAGACAAAUCCCAAUACAUAUGAUUUAUUUUGAAAAGCUGGAGAAGUACACUUAUCUGCACUAAUGUUGAUACAUUUUUUCUAGUUUGGCCAGGUUUUCCAGUUCAGUCAAGAAAUUUAUUUAUUUAUUAUGUUUAUUUAUAUCCUGUUUUUUGUCUCCAUACGAAGACUCAAAACGGCUCACAGUUAAAAAUAAGGUAAUAGCUAAAAAACUGCACUGUGUGUAACUUUAUAAUAAAUGUUUUGAUCUGUUCUAUUA